CUACGGGUUGCUCCAGUGGGGAAUAUUGCACAAUGGAGGAAACUCUGAUGCAGCAACGCCGCGUGGAGGAUGACACUUUUCGGAGCGUAAACUCCUUUUAUAUAGGAAGAAGAUGACGGUACUAUAUGAAUAAGCGCCGGCUAACUCCGUGCCAGCAGCCGCGGUAAUACGGAGGGCGCAAGCGUUACUCGGAAUCACUGGGCGUAAAGAGCGUGUAGGCGGAUUAAAAAGUCAGAAGUGAAAUCCUAUAGCUUAACUAUAGAACUGCUUCUGAAACUCUUAACUAGAAUAUGGGAGAGGUAGAUGGAAUUUCUUGUGUAGGGGUAAAAGCCGGAGAGAUCAGAAGGAAUACCGAUUGGGAAGGCGAUCUACUAGAACAUUAUUGACGCUGAGACGCGAAAGCGUGGGGAGCAAACAGGAUUAGAUACCCUCGUAGUC
rnacentral:rRNA from 1 species